GAAGCUGGAAUUGCUAGUAAUGGCAGGUCAGCAUACUGCCGUGAAUACGUUCCCGGGCCUUGUACACACCGCCCGUCACACCAUGAGAGUUGGAAAUACCCGAAGCCUGUGAGCUAACAGUAAUGAGGCAGCAGUCGAAGGUAGAGCCAAUGAUUGGGGUGAAGUCGUAACAAGGUAAC
rnacentral:rRNA from 1 species